UACGAAGGGGGCAAGCGUUACUCGGAAUUACUGGGCGUAAAGCGUGCGUAGGUGGUGAGUGAAGUCUGAUGUGAAAUCCCCGGGCUCAACCUGGGAAUGGCAUUGGAUACUGGCUCGCUAGAGUGCGGUAGAGGGUGGUGGAAUUCCCGGUGUAGCAGUGAAAUGCGUAGAGAUCGGGAGGAACAUCUGUGGCGAAGGCGGCCACCUGGACCAACACUGACACUGAGGCACGAAAGCGUGGGGAGCAAACAGG
rnacentral:rRNA from 1 species